CCCUUAGAUGUUCUGGGCCGCACGCGCGCUACAAUGAUGAAUUCAACGAGUUUAUAACCUUGGUUGAAAAACCUGGGUAAUCUUUUGAACUUUCGUCGUGAUGGGGCUAGACCCUUGCAAUUAUUGGUCUCCAACGAGGAAUUCCUAGUAAACGCAAGUCAUCAGCUUGCAUUGAUUACGUCCCUGCCCUUUGUACACACCGCCCGUCGCACCUACCGAUUGAAUGGUCCGGUGAAAUCUUCGGAUUGAGACUUUGUUUUCUUCACGGAAAACGCUGUUUUAAAAAGUUGAUUAAACCUUACCAUUUAGAGGAAGGUGAAGUCGUAACA
rnacentral:rRNA from 1 species